UACGUAGGGACCGAGCGUUGUCCGGAAUCAUUUGGGCGUAAAGAGCGUGUAGGCGGCCUUUUAAGUCCUGCGUGAAAUCCUGCGGCUCAACCGCAGACGGUCGUGGGAAACUGGAAGGCUAGAGUGCGGGAGAGGAGAGUGGAAUUCCUGGUGUAGCGGUGGAAUGCGCAGAUAUCAGGAAGAACACCCGUGGCGAAGGCGGCUCUCUGGAACGCAACUGACGCUGAGACGCGAAAGCGUGGGGAGCAAACAGG
rnacentral:rRNA from 1 species